rnacentral:rRNA from 1 species
AUUGAACGCUGGCGGCAGGCCUAACACAUGCAAGUCGAGCGGAUGAAGGGAGCUUGCUCCUGGAUUCAGCGGCGGACGGGUGAGUAAUGCCUAGGAAUCUGCCUGGUAGUGGGGGAUAACGUCCGGAAACGGGCGCUAAUACCGCAUACGUCCUGAGGGAGAAAGUGGGGGAUCUUCGGACCUCACGCUAUCAGAUGAGCCUAGGUCGGAUUAGCUAGUUGGUGGGGUAAAGGCCUACCAAGGCGACGAUCCGUAACUGGUCUGAGAGGAUGAUCAGUCACACUGGAACUGAGACACGGUCAAGACUACUACGGGAGGCAGCAGUGGGGAAUAUUGGGCAAUGGGCGAAAGCCUGAUCCAGCCAUGCCGCGUGUGUGAAGAAGGUCUUCGGAUUGUAAAGAACUUUAAGUUGGGAGGAAGGGCAGUAAGUUAAUACCUUGCUGUUUUGACGUUACCAACAGAAUAAGCACCGGCUAACUUCGUG